AUUAGGCAUAUGAUGAAUCUCAAUUAACAAAUGGGUAAUUUGCGUCUGAAUAGUAUACCUUGAUGCAAUAUCACCUUGGAGAACUGAUGCUUUGU